rnacentral:rRNA from 1 species
GAUGAACGCUGGCGGCGUGCUUAACACAUGCAAGUCGAACGAUGAAAGCGGGAGCUUGCUCCUGCUGGAUUAGUGGCGAACGGGUGAGUAACACGUGAGUAACCUGCCCUUGACUCUGGGAUAAGCGUUGGAAACGACGUCUAAUACCGGAUACGACCUUCGGAGGCAUCUCCUGGGGGUGGAAAGAAUUUCGGUCAAGGAUGGACUCGCGGCCUAUCAGCUAGUUGGUGAGGUAAUGGCUCACCAAGGCGACGACGGGUAGCCGGCCUGAGAGGGUGACCGGCCACACUGGGACUGAGACACGGCCCAGACUCCUACGGGAGGCAGCAGUGGGGAAUAUUGCACAAUGGGCGCAAGCCUGAUGCAGCAACGCCGCGUGAGGGACGACGGCCUUCGGGUUGUAAACCUCUUUUAGUAGGGAAGAAGCGAAAGUGACGGUACCUGCAGAAAAAGCACCGGCUAACUACGUGCCAGCCGCCGCAGUAAAAC